UUCAGCUGGUUUGUUUCGUGCUAGUAUUAGUCCGUACAGUCCAGUCUCAUUGGCUGUUGGAUUAGACUAGAUGCGUCUAACCUAGUGCAUUUGCAGGUAGAGUGCGCUGAGACUUGUGGUAUGGUGGUACGAUCCACUGUUGCAGACGGAUCACUUCCUCACGGUUGUGAUACCAGCACUGUGGUGAUUGCUGUCCAGUACUACAUGUGUAGAGUGUGGUUGAGGUUGCUGGGCAUUUGUAGUUGUGUCGGUUGCAGUCGCAUGCGACGCGUAGCCGUUCACUUUGACGACGUGGUUGGUGGUCUUUCAUACUCGUUCUCGGUGUAAAAGUUGGUCAUCUAUCCGACCCGUCUUGAAACACGGACCAAGGAGUUUAGCAAAUGCGCGAGUCAUUGAGUGCUAUCAAAACUCAAAGGCGCAAUGAAAGUGAAUGUAUUGCACAGAUAUGUGAUCGUGUUGCACUACGGUGUGUACGAGCAACAUAGCCCCGUUCUAAUCGCUUGCGAUGGGGCGGAGGUAGAGCGUAUUUGUUGAGACCCGAAAGAUGGUGAACUAUUCCUGAGCAGGAUGAAGCCAGAGGAAACUC
rnacentral:rRNA from 1 species